CGACCCCUCGCGGGAGAGAUCGUCCCCGGGACACCGUGUCCCGGCGGGCGACGCCGAAGGAGCAACCGCCCCCGGAAACUCUCAGGCAGAAGGACCGCGGGGGAAAA
rnacentral:ncRNA from 2 species